CUACGGGUUGCACCAGUGAGGAAUAUUGCACAAUGGGGGGAACCCUGAUGCAGCAACGCCGCGUGGAGGAUGACGCAUUUCGGUGUGUAAACUCCUAUUAUAUGUCAAGAAAAUGACGGUAGCAUAUGAAUAAGCGCCGGCUAACUCCGUGCCAGCAGCCGCGGCAAUACGGAGGGCGCAAGCGUUACUCGGAAUCACUGGGCGUAAAGGACGCGUAGGCGGGUUGAAAAGUCAGGUGUGAAAGCCUACAGCUUAACUGUAGAACUGCACUUGAAACUCUCAAUCUAGAGUAUGGGAGGGGCAGAUGGAAUUAGUGGUGUAGGGGUAAAAUCCGUAGAUAUCACUAGGAAUACCUAAAGCGAAGGCGAUCUGCUGGAACAUUACUGACGCUAAGGCGUGAAAGCGUGGGGAGCAAACAGGAUUAGAUACCCUUGUAGUC
rnacentral:rRNA from 1 species